rnacentral:rRNA from 1 species
GACGAACGCUGGCGGCGUGCCUAAUACAUGCAAGUCGAGCGGGUUUAUCCUUCGGGAUAAGCUAGCGGCGGACGGGUGAGUAACACGUAGGUAACCUGCCUAUCAGACUGGGAUAACUAUCGGAAACGAUAGCUAAGACCGGAUAAUUGGUUUUCUCGCAUGAGAGAACCUAUCAAACACGGAGCAAUCUGUGGCUGACAGAUGGGCCUGCGGCGCAUUAGCUAGUUGGUGAGGUAACGGCUCACCAAGGCGACGAUGCGUAGCCGACCUGAGAGGGUGAACGGCCACACUGGGACUGAGACCACGGCCCAGACUCCUACGGGAGGCUG